GUCUCUUAGAAAUCGCCGCUCUACGCUUUUCGUCUCAAUUUCUCUCCAUGGCCAAGCAGCUUAACAAAUGCUCCACAUCCACCGAUGUUGAAGAUACCACGGAGCCUUGGCAGAAUGUGUUGGAUGAUUCAAAAGUAAUUCUGAAGAAGCAAA